rnacentral:rRNA from 1 species
AGAGUUUGAUCAUGGCUCAGAUUGAACGCUGGCGGCAGGCCUAACACAUGCAAGUCGAACGGUAACAUUUCUAGCUUGCUAGAAGAUGACGAGUGGCGGACGGGUGAGUAAUACUUAGGAAUAUGCCUUUGUGUGGGGGAUAACUAUUGGAAACGAUAGCUAAUACCGCAUAAUGUCUUCGGACCAAAGGGGGCUUCGGCUCCCGCGCAAAGAGUAGCCUAAGCGAGAUUAGCUUGUUGGUGAGGUAAAGGCUCACCAAGGCGACGAUCUCUAGCUGUUCUGAGAGGAAGAUCAGCCACACUGGAACUGAGACACGGUCCAGACUCCUACGGGAGGCAGCAGUGGGGAAUAUUGCACAAUGGGGGGAACCCUGAUGCAGCCAUGCCGCGUGUGUGAAGAAGGCCUUCGGGUUGUAAAGCACUUUCAGUUGUGAGGAAAGGUUAGUAGUUAAUACCUGCUAGCUAUGACGUUAGCAACAGAAGAAGCACCGGCUAACUCCGUGCCAGCAGCCGCGGUAAUACGGAGGGUGCGAGCGUUAAUCGGAAUUACUGGGCGUAAAGCGCACGCAGGCGGUUUGUUAAGCUAGAUGUGAAAGCCCCGGGCUCAACCUGGGACGGUCAUUUAGAACUGGCAGACUAGAGUCUUGGAGAGGGGAGUGGAAUUCCAGGUGUAGCGGUGAAAUGCGUAGAUAUCUGGAGGAACAUCAGUGGCGAAGGCGACUCCCUGGCCAAAGACUGACGCUCAUGUGCGAAAGUGUGGGUAGCGAACAGGAUUAGAUACCCUGGUAGUCCACACCGUAAACGCUGUCUACUAGCUGUUUGUGACUUUAAGUCGUGAGUAGCGAAGCUAACGCGAUAAGUAGACCGCCUGGGGAGUACGGCCGCAAGGUUAAAACUCAAAUGAAUUGACGGGGGCCCGCACAAGCGGUGGAGCAUGUGGUUUAAUUCGAU